AACAGGUUGCUUUGUUUUUGCUAUAACACCCUUUAAUGCUUAUUUUUGGUAAUAUGUUUGUAUGCAGAAAAGUAGCUGUAUUAGCCGUGGGAGGCACAAUCCCGGAAGAGCUGCAAAACUUGACAUACCUCAACUAUUUGGAUUUGACUUGGAACAACUUGACCGGUCCGUUGCCAGCAUUUAUUGGGAAUUUGACUGAGUUGCAAUCCUUGCAUGUUGGUACAAAUGCAUUAUCCGGGACCAUUCCAAAGGAGCUUGGAAAGCUUCAAAGCCUCAGCUCGUUGUAAGAAACAGACAACAAAUUAUUUAUGCUUUUAUUGUUCAAUUUAUACCGGUCAGAUAGUAAGUUACUAAUAGAAUACCCAGUCUUGAUAAUUUUGUU